rnacentral:rRNA from 1 species
UGGGGAAUAUUGCACAAUGGGCGCAAGCCUGAUGCAGCCAUGCCGCGUGUAUGAAGAAGGCCUUCGGGUUGUAAAGCACUUUCAGCGGGGAGGAAGGGAGUAAAGUUAAUACCUUUGCUCAUUGACGUUACCCGCAGAAGAAGCACCGGCUAACUCCGUGCCAGCAGCCGCGGUAAUACGGAGGGUGCAAGCGUUAAUCGGAAUUACUUGGCGUAAAGCGCACGCAGGCGGUUUGUUAAGUCAGAUGUGAAAUCCCCGGGCUCAACCUGGGAACUGCAUCUGAUACUGGCAAGCUUGAGUCUCGUAGAGGGGGGUAGAAUUCCAGGUGUAGCGGUGAAAUGCGUAGAGAUCUGGAGGAAUACCGGUGGCGAAGGCGGCCCCCUGGACGAAGACUGACGCUCAGGUGCGAAAGCGUGGGGAGCAAACAGG